AGUGUGUAUCUAUAGAUUUUUAAUUUCUUGGUAGCAUUAAAGCAAUUAAUUGUUAAAUAAUUUAAGAAUGAUAUUUUAAACUUUAAUUUAUGUUUUAAAUGCCAUAUAAAAUAGUACAUAAUCUACUAGCAAGUUUGUUUGGAAAUUUGUAGACAUACAUCUAGAUUAUUUACACUUUACUCUGCCACUUAUUUUAUUAUGUUACAAUAAACACUUAUACUAGUAUAUUAAUUAUUGCCUUUUAGUUUAUGAUUGUGUACAAUAAACACAUAUAUAAUCAUUAUUGCCCAUUAUAUACAUGCACAAUUAAUGUGUUAAAUAUAAUAACCACUGUGUGCUUGAUAAUUUCUUACAAGUCAGGAUAAAUAAAUACUACAGACAUUAAGGUUAAGAUCAGAUAAGACUAAUGAUAAACACUUGUGUUUCCCUCUAUCUGAUGCAUGACUAAUUCCUGAUGGGGCAUUCUGGUAUACUGACCAGACUGUUCCAUGUGAUUAUUAAGGUAGUCUGAGCAGUAUACAUUUCAAAACAAUCAGUUAAGAAGGUAACUGACACUUUGAUUCUCUUUCAAAAACUUAUUAUGAUUUUCAAAUUCUACAUUUACUUAUCAUUUGAUAUGUUUUUACACUCAAUAAAUGUAAAAAUAAGAUGGUGGGACUGUUUUGAUAAUUUUGGAUAAUCCCUGUUUCACAUAAUGAUGGACCUGUCCGUCCAGUUAAACUGUUGAACAAUUUGAAAUCUCAGAUAUAUGGGUCAGCUGCUUAUUGAAUGCCACCACAAAGGAUCUUGCAAAAAUUUGGAGAUUACAUCUUGUUUUUGAAUGUUGUGUACAUAUUUUGGAAUUUUCAAAGAAAACAUUUAUCUAAAUGUGACAAGAUUGUGGAAAUGUUUGGUUGUUGUAAAUGAACUAAGAGUGAACUGAGGGAGGAAGAUUAUACAAAAGAAUCAUAGUAAAAAGUUUCAGACUGGGCCAUUGCAGACUGUGAAAAUUUGCCAACUUAGUGUUUAUAGUAUCAGCAAUAUUUCACUACCUUGGAGUCUGAAAAGGUGAAUGCAACUACAAGAUGUGCCACUAGGAAACACUUGCACAGGACGUUAGCUGACAUAAUGAGGAAAAAUUGUGGUUUUGAUAAUCAGUUUGAAAGAAAGUUUUGGUUUGUGACAGACAACAUAAUAGUUGAAAUCAAGGUGAUCAAAGAAAGCAGCAGUACCUACAAAAGUCAUGUACAGAUACUUGCACAAUUAAAAAGCUGUUUGUGACACUUGAAGUUUAUGUAGGAUGUAUUCUGUAUCUAGACAAAAAGGAUAUCUUUUAUUUGUGAAGAAAAACAAACUGUGAUAAUUUUCAUAUCUUAACUUGGAUUAUUGAAAUACAAUUAGAUGUGAUUUUAAGAGAAUAAUCAUAUAAACAUACAUGUAUGUUUACUCAUAAGCUUAUAGAGAAGUUUACUACAUGAAUAUUGAAUUAAUUAUUACAUAUAAACUAUAAUUUUAGAUGCAUAUCUUUAAUUAAGAUAGUGUAAAUACAAUUGUUUAGCCAGUCAUUUAAUUAUCAAUGGUCCAAAGUACAUGACGAAAUGGUCAUCAUUAAUUAAAUUAAAUAUAAUAAAAAAACAACUGUUUAUGGAAUUUUGCUCUGAUUAUUCCAUGCCAAAAUUCCGUGCCAAGAUUCCGUGCUCAGAUUCCGUGCCAGUUUUCCGCACGGACAUUUUUCCUGCUCAUUUACAUAUUUCGUGCCAAAUUCCGUGCCAUUUCCACCCAGAAUCCGUGCCAAGAGUUCCGUGCCUAAAAUUCCGCACGGAAUUUAUUCCUGCUCAUUUACAUAUUUCGUGCCAAAUUCCGUGCCAUUUCCGCCCAGAAUCCGCCCGUAAAAUGAACCCUUAUCAUAUACUGAAAAUUUUAAAGGAA